rnacentral:rRNA from 1 species
AUUGAACGCUGGCGGCAUGCCUUACACAUGCAAGUCGAACGGCAGCACGGGCUUCGGUCUGGUGGCGAGUGGCGAACGGGUGAGUAAUGUAUCGGAACGUACCUUUCAGUGGGGGAUAACGUAGCGAAAGUUACGCUAAUACCGCAUAUUCUGUGAGCAGGAAAGCAGGGGAUCGCAAGACCUUGCGCUGAUUGAGCGGCCGAUAUCAGAUUAGCUAGUUGGUGAGGUAAAGGCUCACCAAGGCGACGAUCUGUAGCGGGUCUGAGAGGAUGAUCCGCCACACUGGAACUGAGACACGGUCCAGACUCCUACGGGAGGCAGCAGUGGGGAAUUUUGGACAAUGGGGGCAACCCUGAUCCAGCCAUGCCGCGUGAGUGAAGAAGGCCUUCGGGUUGUAAAGCUCUUUCGGCCGGGAAGAAAUCGUAUGGGUUAAUACCCUGUGCGGAUGACGGUACCGGCAUAAGAAGCACCGGCUAACUACGUGCCAGCCGCCGCCGUAAGAC